AGGAAGGAGGGAGGGAAGAGACAGACUCUGGAUCAGGCUUCCAUGGAAUUCAUCUAUAAUUUAACCUGGGCUCCGACAUAAAGCAUGGGAGUGCUUCUACUUAAUGAGUAUAAUACUACAUAGAUAAGAGACUAAAAACACAGCCCUGGUUUGAGCCAGCAUUGGGCUAACAGUCUAGAAAAUCCAGUGAAGUGCUUACCAAGACAUCAGUGGUAUGUCUUGAUUUCUAAAUAUAAUUGUUUUGAGUAGAUGUGAGAAAUUCCUUCCCGUGAAGUGGAUGGGAGAGAAGGAGGCUGGAUAUCGAGACUGGAAGGAUUUGGACUUGAGUCCUGGAUAUGAUGUAGACCUGGGGAGACUGAUAAGCUUAGCCUGUUCCUUAAAUGUGUGCAUUGUGGAAGAUAAUUCGGUCCCAUAAUAGCUAUGUAAGUAUUUUGUAGUCAGCCUUUGCCACACACAUUGUUUUUUGACUGGACACUUUCUCAAGACUCUUGAUGGAUCAUAACCAGAUCUACAAACAUCAGAGAAUCUUAGAAUGCGUUGUUCAAGUAACCCUAAGGGGAAAAUGUAGUUUGAUGAUUGAAAAAUACCCUCCCCCAAUUUACCAUUAACAUAUCUUGCAAGAGGGGAGCAUAGUGGCAGAUUUUCAAAUUGCACCCAGAAAAGAUGGCCGUUUUGUUUUUCUUUUAACUAAAAGUGGCCAAGAUUUCCCAACUAUUCUAUUUUUACAGAAAUCUUAAAGGUUUCAUUGCUGGGUCAGAUUUAAGGCCUGUGUGGGAACCGGCGACUUCUGCCAGAGGCUCAGCGCCAUCCCUGCUGUGUUGCGGUUUCCGCGUAUUUUUACAUUCCACGCAUUGCUGAACUGAGCCCUAAAUCACUGGUGCUUCGCGCGAGUUUGCGACCUUUUAGGCUUGGGCUUCGGGACUGAAUGCAUUAUUUUAAAAACGAGAUGUUUUUCUUGCCGUGGAGCCGCAGCUACUGAGUCUCCCUCCUCCCCUUCUCAGGGCUCCACCCGUCACUUCCCCCCGGUUGAAGUCAAAGGUAAACUUUAUAUAGCACAGGAAACAUUUGGGACUGCUAAUAAACAAAUGUUAGAAACGAAGGGCUUUAAUUGUUGGGUGCACAUGCGCGUUUAGCAUAAUAAAGCCAGUUGCGAUUGGGUGCAAGGAAAGAGUUUCUUACUCCUCCUCCCAAGUGUCUAGAUUACCUAAGAGCAGAUGUAUGGCCGCCUGGAUUCUGGACACGUUCCUAGAGAAGACUGUGUAGUCAUUUAUAACGGUGGCACCCUGUUAUCCAUUCUUACAGCUUCAGCCCUCUUUCUGUCCCCCAUAUUCUUAAUCACUUUCCCGUAGGCCUUGGGCCGCACCGGUCACAGCUAUCAGUUCCACGCCCACGAUGUGCAUGCCCACGAUGUGCAUGCUGGUCUUCAGAAAUUUCAGUUCUCCACAAGCUCUCUAGACCCUCUUUAUUCUCAGGGGAGUUGUUCAGUGCGCUCGGAGCAUCUCGCUAGCCACCCCUCCUGUCCUCCAAGCUUUUUGUGCUUCUUCACACCACACAGACUCUUUCUUUCUUCCCAAGUACACUCAGUACCUGCCUUCCAUUCUGUCUCCCUGCCCUUCCGUGGUGUUUUUCCAUAGUGAGGAACCUCUGAGGGUCUGUACAAUUGCAUCCUUCUGCCUGCGGCCUUCCCUGAGCCCAUCUGGCAUUCGGCUUUCCAACCCCUCUCUCUUGGAUUUAAUUUAUGACCAGAUUUAAAUUAAAAAUAUAUCUACAUGUUAAAAAAAAGUUACUGUUUCUUCUAGGUCAGCUUAUUGGCUAGAUGUUGAUAUAUAAAGAUAAAUGAAAAUGCAUGGGUCUAUGACCAUUAUGGAUCAAUUUUAAAUCUCAAGGAAAAAAGUUUUAAAAGCAUGUUACAG
rnacentral:lncRNA from 1 species